rnacentral:rRNA from 1 species
AGGGAAUAUUGCACAAUGGAGGAAACUCUGAUGCAGCGACGCCGCGUGAGUGAUGAAGGCCUUCGGGUCGUAAAGCUCUGUCGUAUGGGACUAACAAAAUGAAGGUACCAUGCAAGAAAGGAUCGGCUAACUUCGUGCCAGCAGCCGCGGUAAGACGAGGGAUCCUAGCGUUGUUCGGAAUUAUUGGGCGUAAAGCGGGUGUAGGUGGACUUGUAAGUCAGGUGUGAAAUCCCAGGGCUCAACCCUGGAAGUGCACUUGAUACUGCAAGUCUUGAGUGUGGUAGAGGCUAUUAGAAUUCUUGGUGUAGUGGUGAAAUACGUAGAUAUCAAGAGGAAUACCGGAGGCGAAGGCGGAUAGCUGGGCCAACACUGACACUGAGACCCGAAAGCGUGGGGAUCAAACAGGA